UCAAAAUUUUAUAUUUGUCCUUUUAAAAUUUUAGAUAUAUUUUCAGUGGGUACGGCGUUAAUGGAGAGGACAAAAUAAUCACAUUUCUCUUACUUUUUCUAUAAGAAAAAAAUAUUUUUUAAAAUAUAUUUAUGUCAUUUUGAAGAGUAUUUUGAUAUAAAUUAUAAGAAAUGAACGGAAUAGUGAAGGAUUAAAUACAAUAACUUGAAAUAUUGAGAGAGUAAAAUAUUAAUUUUUGAUAGUUAGAGCAGAAAAGUAAAAAAAUAAGUAUUUAUAAUUUUUUUUAUAAUUUAGUCAAAAUUAAAAUAUAAUAUUCAUACUUUGGCUAUUUAUAUUAUGUUUAUUUUCGUACCUAAUAUUAUGUUCCGCAUAUCGCGAUGAAUUAGUUACUAUAUACUUUCUGCAAUCCCACCAAAAAAUACAAAAACAUUUAUAUUUAUAUUUAUAUUUAUAUCUAUCUUCUAUUUAUUUAUAUAUUAUUUUCAAUAGAAUUUGUCUUGUGGCAGUCCCUUGUUUAUCCUUGCUUUCUUUUUCUUCUCAUUUUCUGGUGCUUCGUCUUUCCACUUUUUAUUUUUGCCUGAUGCUUCAUUUUUCCACCCUUAAUUUUUGCUUGAUACUUCGUCUUUCUAUCCGUAUACUUUUCAAUUAAUACGGUCGUGUAGUCUAUUGGCAUUUAAACAAAUGAAAAAAAAAAAACUAGUAUUUCUAUAUGCUAGUUUUAUCUUAUAGAUUUACUCUAUAAAAAGGCCUCACAACACCCCCCCACACACACACACCACACUAUAACAACAACACUCACAACACUGCACACUACACCUGAAAAUGCUCUCCAUUCUCAAACCCUGCUCCACUCCCCCUCCCCUUUCUCUCUCCUCCUCCUCCCCCUCCCCCUCCAAAUCCAAACCCUCUCUUUNCAGCCUAACUCGUCAUAAUGGAAAACUCAAAUUAACAUAAUACCAAAAUGUUGUAUUUGGGCUCUUCAAUGUAUUUAAUGUUGGGCCUGUUAUGGUUUUGGGAGGUUCACAAUUUAUGGGCCUAGUGACACUUUCUAGCCAAUGUGUGUUACACUUUGUAGACAAGACAUUAGCAUGUUCAAAAAGCAUAUCUUUCACAAACAUACUUUGAAGGUUGAAAUACACAAAAUCUUCUUAUAAAUACUUACUUUUUUUUAUUUUUUCUCUAUGACUUUCAAAAUUUUAUAUUUGUCCUUUUAAAAUUUUAGAUAUAUUUUCAGUGGGUACGGCGUUAAUGGAGAGGACAAAAUAAUCACAUUUCCCUUACUUUUUCUUUAAGAAAAAAAAUAUUUUUUAAAAUAUAUUUAUGUCAUCUUGAAGAGUAUUUUGAUAUAAAUUAUGAGAAAUAAACGGAAUGGUGAAGGAUUAAAUACAACAACUUGAAAUAUUGACAGAGUAAAAUAUUAAUUUUUGAUAGUUAGAGAAGAAAAGUAAAAAAAAUAAGUAUUUAUAAUUUUUUUUUAUAAUUUAGUCAAAAUUAAAAUAUAAUAUUCAUACUUUGGCUAUUUAUAUUAUGUUUAUUUUCGUACCUAAUAUUAUGUUCCGCAUAUCGCGAUGAAUUAGUUACUACAUAUUUUCUGCAAUCCCACCGAGAAAUACAAAAGUAUUUAUAUUUAUAUUUAUAUCUAUCUUCUAUUUAUACAUUAUUCUUCAUAGAAUUUGUCAUGUGACAGUUCCUUCUUUAUCCUUGCAUUCUUUUCCUUUCUUUUCCUUCUCACUCUCUGAUGCUUCGUCUUUCCACCCCUCAUUUUCGCUUGAUACUUCGUCUUUUCAUCGGUACACUUUUCAAUUA
rnacentral:lncRNA from 1 species